CCUACGGGCGGCUGCAGUGGGGAAUAUUGCACAAUGGGGGAAACUCUGAUGCAGCGACGCCGCGUGAGUGAAGAAGUAAUUCGUUAUUUAAAGCUCUAUCAGCAUGGGAGAAAAUGACGGUACCUGAGUAAUCAUCUCCGGCUAACUACGUUCCAGCAGCCGCGGUAAUACGUCGGGGGCAAGCGUUAUCCGGAUUUACUGGGUGUAAAGGGAGCGUAGACGGCAGUGCAGGUCUGGAGUGAAAGGCGGGGGCUCAACCCCCGGACUGCUGUGGAAACUGUAAGGCUGGAGUGCAGGAGAGGUAAGUGGAAUUCCUAGUGUAGCGGUGAAAUGCGUAGAUAUUAGGAGGAACACCAGUGGCGAAGGCGGCUCACUGGACUGUAACUGACGUUGAGGCUCGAAAGCGUGGGGAGCAAACAGGAUUAGAUACCCGAGUAGUC
rnacentral:rRNA from 1 species